rnacentral:rRNA from 1 species
UUGAUCCCUGGCUCAGGACGAACGCUGGCGGCGUGCCUAAUACAUGCAAGUCGAGCGGAUCUAUUCCUUCGGGAAUAGGUUAGCGGCGGACGGGUGAGUAACACGUAGGCAACCUGCCUGUAAGAUCGGGAUAACUCACGGAAACGUGUGCUAAUACCGGAUAGGUAAUUUUCUCGCAUGAGAGAAUUAAGAAAGGCGGAGCAAUCUGCUACUUACAGAUGGGCCUGCGGCGCAUUAGCUAGUUGGUGAGGUAAUGGCUCACCAAGGCGACGAUGCGUAGCCGACCUGAGAGGGUGAACGGCCACACUGGGACUGAGACACGGCCCAGACUCCUACGGGAGGCAGCAGUAGGGAAUCUUCCGCAAUGGACGAAAGUCUGACGGAGCAACGCCGCGUGAGUGAUGAAGGUUCUCGGAUCGUAAAGCUCUGUUGCCAAGGAAGAACAGCUAGGAGAGUAACUGCUCUUAGAUUGACGGUACUUGAGAAGAAAGCCCCGGCUAA